rnacentral:rRNA from 1 species
UACGUAGGGAGCAAGCGUUAUCCGGAUUUAUUGGGUGUAAAGGGUGCGUAGACGGGACAACAAGUUAGUUGUGAAAUCCCUCGGCUUAACUGAGGAACUGCAACUAAAACUAUUGUUCUUGAGUGUUGGAGAGGAAAGUGGAAUUCCUAGUGUAGCGGUGAAAUGCGUAGAUAUUAGGAGGAACACCGGUGGCGAAGGCGACUUUCUGGACAAUAACUGACGUUGAGGCACGAAAGUGUGGGGAGCAAACAGGAUUAGAUACCCUGGUAGUCCACACCGUAAACGAUGGAUACUAGGUGUAGGAAAUGAUUUCAUUUUCUGUGCCGUCGCAAACGCAAUAAGUAUCCCACCUGGGGAGUACGGCCGCAAGGUUGAA